rnacentral:tRNA from 1 species
GGACCGGUAGCUCAGUUGGAUAGAGCAGCUGCCUUCAAAUUACUAGGAGCCUUAUAAGGGAAACGAAACCUUAUAAGUGGAUGCCACUAUAUCGGUGAAACCUUCCUGCGCAAGCAGAUGGCAAUACCGAGGAAACCUGCAAGGGGUUCCGUAGAGACUACACGUGGCACACCUGAAAUGGUGAAGAUAUAGUCCAGACCACAAAUCCUGGCUGUAAGUCGGGAGCAGGGAAACCUGUAGAGGGUAAGCUAAGCAGCAGGUCAUUGGUUCGAAUCCAAUCCGGUUCA